rnacentral:RNase_P_RNA from 1 species
GCUUACGACAAUCCCGCAAAUGUGGAUCACAUACGGAGUACUGCAUUACUCAUUUAAAUCCUCGGGAAGGUCUGAGAAAAAGCCAGUCUCUUACAUGUAGAGUUCAUGUUCUAGCCGGACAACCUUCUUGUGAAGGUAUAGAGGAAUAGAAAGAUAUCGGUUGGAGGUUACCUGCCCACGAUGCCUCUUUGGCUAGGCGUUUUACUUCCAAAUACGAUUGGAACCGCCUCUGUGGCUUGCUUUUUGAGUAUAAUUUGCGGGAUGUGGUAUGCAUUGUUUCGCUACUACAAAACUCAAUUCAGACUAAUCUGUCGAAAGC